GACGUAGGGCGCGAGCGUUGUCCGGAUUUAUUGGGCGUAAAGAGCGUGUAGGCGGCCAGGUAGGUCUGCUGUGAAAACUCGAGGCUCAACCUCGAGACGUCGGCGGAAACCAUCUGGCUAGAGUCCGGAAGAGGAGAAUGGAAUUCCCGGUGUAGCGGUGAAAUGCGCAGAUAUCGGGAAGAACACCCGUGGCGAAGGCGGUUCUCUGGGACGGUACUGACGCUGAGACGCGAAAGCGUGGGGAGCGAACAGG
rnacentral:rRNA from 1 species